rnacentral:rRNA from 1 species
UACCAGCACCCCGAGUGGUCGGGACGUUUAUUGGGCCUAAAGCAUCCGUAGCCGGUUCUACAAGUCUUCCGUUAAAUCCAGCUGCUUAACAGAUGGGCUGCGGAAGAUACUAUGGAGCUAGGAGGCGGGAGAGGCAAGCGGUACUCGAUGGGUAGGGGUAAAAUCCGUUGAUCCAUUGAAGACCACCAGUGGCGAAGGCGGCUUGCCAGAACGCGCUCGACGGUGAGGGGAUGAAAAGCUGGGGGGAGCAAACCGG